UACGGGGGGGGCAAGCGUUGUUCGGAAUUACUGGGCGUAAAGGGCUCGUAGGUGGCCAACUAAGUCAGACGUGAAAUCCCUCAGCUUAACUGGGGAACUGCGUCUGAUACUGGAUGGCUUGAGUUUGGGAGAGGGAUGCGGAAUUCCAGGUGUAGCGGUGAAAUGCGUAGAGAUCCGGAGGAACACCGAAGGCGAAGGCAGUGUCCUGGCUGGUGACUGACGCUGAGGUGCGAAAGCUAGGGGAGCGAACGGG
rnacentral:rRNA from 1 species